GCCCUGGUAGCUCAAUUGGUUAGAGCGUCGGACUUUUAUAGGACUGUCUUAUAACUGGAUAUCCGAAGGCUGCGGGUUCGACCCCCGCCUGGGGCG